rnacentral:rRNA from 1 species
GACGUAGGGCGCGAGCGUUGUCCGGAUUUAUUGGGCGUAAAGAGCUCGUAGGCGGCUUGUCGCGUCGUCCGUGAAAACUUGGGGCUCAACCCCAAGCUUGCGGUCGAUACGGGCAGGCUCGAGUUCGGUAGGGGAGACUGGAAUUCCUGGUGUAGCGGUGAAAUGCGCAGACAUCAGGAGGAACACCGGUGGCGAAGGCGGGUCUCUGGGCCGAUACUGACGCUGAGGAGCGAAAGCGUGGGGAGCGAACAGG